AGUAGGAAGUGAAUAAGUCGAUAAAGAAACUCACUGAAAUACUGAGGAACACACCUCCUAGACCCCACGGGAGUAGACUCGGAGGACUUUCCAAAACAUGCACGAUUCACUUCCUUUUGGACGGACUGGAGAGAAAGAAGAGCUCCACUUUAAUGAAGACUUGAAGAUCUGCCUGCCAUUUAUUGGUCAAGAGUCCUGUCUUCACUUCAAAAAGUCACUUUAAUUGCAUACAUUUCCUCUUUGGAUGGCUUCUUGGGAUACCUGUGCCACUUUUGACCGCAUCUGUAUGCCAGAAAUUCCACUGUUGCUAACGAUAAGGAUGCCCACUUGGUCUCAGAUCCAGAGCUCUGAGUAACUGCCCAGUGAUACCUAGUCCUGCCUGCAACUUCCUACACAAGUCCCACCCCUUCUAGACCUGGCGUUAUAAAGCAGGGCAGCCAGCCCCAAGGAGGUGUCUGCUGAGAGCUGAUCUUGAAUGGUGACAGAGCUCUUGUUUGCUUUGGGCUCCUGCAGCUGAC